AUUACAUUUGUUUCUCAUCUCCUUUUUCAAGGUAAUAAAUACUAAGUGUCCGCUGUCCUCAGUCCUUUAACAAAUAAGUGUACUCCAAUAAAGACCGCAUCUCCCGAGGAAGCCAAAUAAUAUAGCUAGACAAUAUAAUUGUCCCGAAGAAUUACUAUUUAUAAUCGGAGACCUGACGUUGGAUGGAAAGCACCCGAGGCAGGAUCAAUCCGGAAGAGGUGACUAGAGCUCUGCCACGUUUCUGCACCACUUAUUGAAGGCACUUUAGUUAUCAGAUUUCGGUGACAUUGUUGAAAUUAAUUAAUUAGAAGCUGAUGUACAACAAAAUCUAAGCAAAAAUCAUUGAAAACGGACUGUACUACGGAC